GACGAACGCUGGCGGCGUGCCUAAUACAUGCAAGUCGAACGCAGUGGGGCCGGGUGAGUAACACGUGGGUAACCUCCCAUCCGAGGGGCUAACACUUGGAAACAGGUGCUAAACCGAUACUGAUGGAUGGACCCGCGGUGCAUUAGCUCGUUGGUGAGGUAACGGCUCACAACGGCCACGAUGAAAAGCCGACUGGCGAGGGUGAUGGGCCACACGUGGACUGAUACAAGGCCAAGACUACGCCGGGAGGCAGGAGUAGGGAAUCUUCGGCAAUGGAGGAAAGUCUGAAGGAGCAACGCCGGGGGAGUGAUGACGGCCUUCGGGUUGUAAAGCUCGGUUAAUCGGGACGCGGUACCGGAAUAGAAAGCCACGGCUAACUACGUGCCAGCCGCCGCGGUAAUAC
rnacentral:rRNA from 1 species